rnacentral:rRNA from 1 species
UACGUAGGGGGCUAGCGUUGUCCGGAAUCAUUGGGCGUAAAGCGCGUGUAGGCGGCCCGGUAAGUCCGCUGUGAAAGUCGGGGGCUCAACCCUCGGAUGCCGGUGGAUACUGUCGGGCUCGAGUACGGAAGAGGCGAGUGGAAUUCCUGGUGUAGCGGUGAAAUGCGCAGAUAUCAGGAGGAACACCAAUUGCGAAGGCAGCUCGCUGGGACGUAACUGACGCUGAGACGCGAAAGCGUGGGGAUCAAACAGG